ensembl:lncRNA
UAAACGACUCGUGUGUUUCUGAUCGUCCUGAGAAUUGCUGUGAAGCUAGAUAACAUGCUAACGCUGUGUUCUGAACAUAGUUUGACAAGUUUAGUCGACAUAUAAUAUGUAAUUUCGACGUUUUGGUGCGCACCCACUUGACUUUUUGGCUGCAUUUCAACCGAAAUAUGUCGUGUUUGAUCACCGAAAGACACAGACUUCCAAACUAAAGCUGUUUUUGGUAUAAACCCUUCCAGGUCUUCUGAUGGAAGAACAGCAAAGCAUCAGUAGAACACGCCCUUACUCUCCUGGAAAGCGAUGGCUGGCAACAUCUGACUCCGUACUUCAGGCAGCUGACACAGAUCAAGCACUUUCUGCACUUCAGCUUCGAUGCUCUGGAGCCUGGUGUUGUUGUCACCAAGGAGCGUUCAGACUCAGUCGGGACCAGGUUUCAGCUGAUGCACAGCGCUGAUGUCCUUCCACCCAUAGACGGUCUGCCUGUACAAGCACCACCUGGUCACAACUAGACAAAUGUAUAUUUUUGAGAAGAUCAGGUAGUUUUGAGAUGAAGAAGCCAUGGACAUCACAUGCCCUGCACCAAAGUCAAGGACAGGACAGAUACUGGCUCUCAGAAUAUAGAUUUCCUUGUUCAUGCGUGGUGCGGACAGACCAGUUCAUCACUGGGGCAUUAGAAUUCCUACCGACCACAGUGUAUCAGCUGCCAGGAACAGAAUCCCCCACAAUUUCAAGAGUGAAGAUCACAGAGUGUGCACAACAAGUUCGACUGAGGUUUGGACUGUUUGGUUCAUUAAAUAAUAUAAAUGAUUAUAAUAAUCAAACCUAUUUUAUGAUAUCUUAUCUUGUGAAAAAGUAUAUAUUUAGACAAUAUGGCUUUGUUUCAAUGUGCUAUUUAAAAAAUGUACAUAUUCUUGUAUAUUCUCUACGUCAUGUAUGUUCUGAAAUGCAGUAAAUGUAAAUAAAUUACUUGAAAUUCAACAUUGUAUCUUGAUCAUGUGUGUAGGAUAUUAUGGGAUGGUAGAAAAGGCAAUAAUAUUCAAGCAAAAUUGAAAUUAGGAUGACACUGAACAGAACCCAAGGAUUAGAUAAAAAAUUACCCAGCUGCUGGUUCAAUCCCCAAACCAAUGUACUGGGUUUAUGUCACAACCAACACACUGGAUUGUUGUAACACAGCAAUAGUCUAAUUUACCCAGCAGUUGGGUCAAGCGAUCAACACAAGACGCUGGGUUAGACGCACAACCCAAAUUCGCUGGGUUGAAUUAACCCAGUGCUUCGCUUGUCAAAUAUUGACCCAGGCACUGGGUUGUUGAAAUUAACCAAAUAUGGUAAUUUUUAACCAAGCAUUUUUUGGAGUAAGAAAAAUUCAUUUUGGAAAAAUAAUUUGAAUUGCCAUAUUAGGCAUAACACAAUGUCUACCUUUUAAAAUACCAAAAUAAAUAGCCAUUUCAGUAAUUGUUUUCAGUAUCCUAAUUUUGUUUUGUUUUCUGAUUGUUUAAUUGCAUGUAUUCAAGCUUUGGAUGAAGGACUUCCACAAGGCUGCCAUCUCCAAAGUUCAUUCAAAAAUGCAACAGUUCUGAACAGGGUUUGAUUUAGUAUUUGUUGUUUUAAUUAUUGACAUUUUGUUAAUUAUCUUUCAACUUCCAUUGGUUAAUAUUUUGCCCAGUUACCACUUGGUUCAUGUAAAUAGAUCAUGUAGUUGGUCCCUUUAAACAUCCUAAUGUCAACAUCCCCAUAGUGUUCACAUUUCUCUUGUUUAAACGUUGUAGCUACAUAAAAAUAUUAAACAAUUUAUUACGGAAAAA